GAUGAACGCUAGCGGCAGGCUUAACACAUGCAAGUCGAGGGGCAGCAGGGGUAGCAAUACUCGCUGGCGACCGGCAAACGGGUGCGGAACACGUACACAAUCUACCUUUAUCUGGGGUAUAGCCCGAAGAAAUUCGGAUUAAUCCCCCAUACGAUAUUAGAGUGGCAUCACUUCGAUAUUAAAACUCCGGUGGAUAAAGAUGAGUGUGCGUCCCAUUAGCUAGUUGGUAGGGUAACGGCCUACCAAGGCAACGAUGGGUAGCUGGUGUGAGAGCACGACCAGCCACACGGGCACUGAGACACGGGCCCGACUCCUACGGGAGGCAGCAGUGAGGAAUAUUGGUCAAUGGACGCAAGUCUGAACCAGCCAUGCCGCGUGAAGGAUGAAGGCCUUCUGGGUUGUAAACUUCUUUUAUUGGGGAAGAAAAUUACGGUUUCUACUGUAACCGACGGUACCCAAGGAAUAAGCACCGGCUAACUCCGUGCCAGCAGCCGCCGUAAGAC
rnacentral:rRNA from 1 species